CCAACGGCCCUCUUUAGGGCCACAAUUCAUGUAAUCCUACUAAUGU
rfam:Caenorhabditis tropicalis strain JT1373 unplaced genomic scaffold Scaffold630, whole genome shotgun sequence.